rnacentral:rRNA from 1 species
CGAACGCUGGCGGCGUGCUUACCACAUGCAAGUCGAACGAAGAGCGAUGGAAGCUUGCUUCUAUCAAUCUUAGUGGCGAACGGGUGAGUAACGCGUAAUCAACCUGCCCUUCAGAGGGGGACAACAGUUGGAAACGACUGCUAAUACCGCAUACGAUCUAAUCUCGGCAUCGAGGAUAGAUGAAAGGUGGCCUCUACAUGUAAGCUAUCACUGAAGGAGGGGAUUGCGUCUGAUUAGCUAGUUGGAGGGGUAACGGCCCACCAAGGCGAUGAUCAGUAGCCGGUCUGAGAGGAUGAACGGCCACAUUGGGACUGAGACACGGCCCAGACUCCUACGGGAGGCAGCAGUGGGGAAUCUUCCGCAAUGGACGAAAGUCUGACGGAGCAACGCCGCGUGAGUGAUGACGGCCUUCGGGUUGUAAAGCUCUGUUAAUCGGGACGAAAGGCCUUCUUGCGAAUAGUGAGAAGGAUUGACGGUACCGGAAUAGAAAGCCACGGCUAACUACGUG